rnacentral:lncRNA from 1 species
UCAGUCCUUUGUUUUGUUUGUGAAUGCUUACAGUUUCAACUUGCAUAUUGUAUUAGAACUUCAAGAUGGGAAUCCAUCACUGCUAGAUCUGGGUUCAACCCUUUGUUCCGAGCAUACUGUUUGUGAAAUGAGAGGUAUAAUAAGUUAUUAACACUGAUUUACCUCUUUUUAAAUUUAAUGAUUUACGAUCAUAGUUGCUAUCUUUUUUAGUAAAAAAUGGAAUAAGAAUCGAAGUAAAAUUAGGACGGAUUCAUAUUACGCUUUUGCUUUUAUAGGUUUUAAUCUGUAUCUUUUUUAGGAAAUCGAUUUAUGUGCUUUUGUGUGUGUAAUUUUAUUGACUGACCUUGAAAUUUCGAUCUAUUUUUUUAUUUAUUUAUAGGCAUAGUUUUGUUAUUUGUGCAUCAGUGUUAUAUGUGCGAAUAAUUACAUUCUUGCUAAGAAUUAUUCUGAGAAAAAUAUAAUGCGUUCAAAUGUGGAGAUAUAGUAUAAUUAAGUUUGUAGUUGCUCUUUUUUUCUUUUUGAUAAUGACUCUUCUAAAAGAUAUACAUAGGUUUCUCCUUUGUCUUUUUUUAGUUUCUUUAAUUUCUACAUGUCGUCUCCGGUCUUUGACUCUGUUCAAGCUACAGGUAUGCACUCUUUUUCUUGAUUUAUUUUUUUGGGUCAGCUUUUUUUGACUUCUCUCCAUCUUUCUUAGUUUUGCUAUUUAAUGGAUGUAGAAAUCCUUCAUAAAAAUAAAAAAAUUCAUUCUUGAUUUCUCUUCUGUGAAGCCUAAAUGCUUCUCGGUCUCGGCUUGAUAAUGAUAUUGAUCUAGGUGUUAAGCCUAAUUAAGUAGAAGAACUUUUAUACUUUCUGAUUUUGCUAGGAUUUUUUUAAUAAUUUCUGAUUUCGCGAUUUAAUGGUUAUUUUGUUAUAAAUUGGGGAGUGUUAUUUGAAUAACUAACUGUAAAGAAGCAUAUCAUGUUAGUAAUUUCAUCUGCUUUAGGCUUCUUGCUCACGAUUUGAAUUCUUUUUUUAAAAAAAGAGAAGGAUUUUGUCUUCAAAAUGCUAAAGAAACAGAAAUUAGAUCUCUUCCAGCGUGCUAGCGAUAUCUAGGACCAAGCUAGCAGUUACUUAGUCGUUGUAUGCAAGGCUGCCACAAUCGCUUAAAUUGGUUUAAUUUUUUUUAUCUUUCUCCGCCUUUUGGUUGGAGUUGCCUAACACUUUGUUAUUUUAUUGUGUUUUAUUUUUAUUAUUGUUGCAGUUUCUGCAUUCCAUUGUGAUAAUUGUGUAUCCGUGUGUUUGUGAAGCAUUUUAUAGUGUGGGAUGUAAUGCUCUUCUACUCCUUGAUCUCCUUAAUAUUCUAUGUUAUUAUGUAUGUUGUAUUUCUUACCUGGGUUCUUUAGUUUUAUGAUAUGUCUACAUGAUAGUGAAUAUAAUACAUGUUGAUGUAUGCACAUUAAUCAAUAUUAAAAUAUACUCAAUAACGUUAAACAUGUUAUUAAAAUUUCACGUGCAGGAAUGAAAAAGUAUUGCUGAAAUGUCGGAUAGAAAUCUGAAAAAUGGUCAAAACUUCGAAAAAGUACAUUCCGACGAAAAGGCUAGGCGACACUAAUUAUAUAGAAUGAUGCAAGAUGAUAAAAUAGAGGCUCUCUUAACACGUGCACGAGCAAACAAAGCUGAAUGAGUAGAUACAUCUGGCUGCCAGUUGAGUUAUGCAUAUGAUUUUUAAGUUCUCUUCAUAUUCUUUGGUGUAACUAUUAUAUGUAUGUGAUUAUUUUUUUAAUGGGUCUACGGAUAUUUUUUUUACCUAAUAAUAAACACUAUUGAGCAAUUAUAGAGUUCAGCGGAAGGCAGCUAACAAGAUAGCCUUGCAUCAAGUAGCAAGUUGAAAAAGAGCACAAGUAGAGUUGGAAGAGCCAAAUCAUGCUCAUGUUGUAUAAAAGCUCUUUUGGAUUAUGGUCAUUUAUUAUUAUUUCAAUAGGAAGUACUGUGUCUACUAUCAUCAUCGCAAGUGAAAAAUAAAACUAAAUUUAGCACAGGCCAUCAUCGCCUAGUUUUUAUUAGAAAAAAACUCAUUUAAAAGUUUACUAUUCCAAAAGUAGUCUUAUUUGGUAAGUUCAAAGCAUCUAUAAUUUCUUAGAACAUAUCUAGACUGGAGGAAAUCUUGAAAGAGAUAAAAGUAUUGCAAUUAUCUCUGCUUUACAAAGAGGAAAUGCCUCCAAGGCUUUCCUAUUAUUCAAUAGUACUACACAAGCAAAU